AACUAAGCUCAACUCCAAAACCAAAUUCUCAACGAUGGAUAUCUUGGUUCCCAUAACGAUGAAGAACGCAGCGAAGUGCGAUAAGCAAUGCGAAUUGCAGAACCGUGAGUCAUCAGAUUUUUGAACGCAAUUGGCGUCGAUUGGAACUCCAGUCGGCAUGCUUGUUUCAGUGUCUCGUUAUCUCCCCACCCAAA
rnacentral:rRNA from 1 species